GGUCUUGAACUCAAAGAGAUCUGUCUGCCUCUUCCUCCUGAAUCCUGGGUUUAAAGGUGUGUGUCAUUGGCUUUGUCCCUUAUUGGUUAUUUUUCUUCCCGUUUAGACCUAGAUACCCAGGCCUAAGGAACACGAACCAGUCAGCCAGUGGUAGAGCCAUUGGUGUAGCCCUGGCUCCUGCCACCCUCCCCUUCUUGCCACAUUGCCAACCCAUGCCAAGAUUUUCCCUCUCCUGACCUCAGGAAUGGCGUUUGGCACCUCGGUGAGGUUCUGGUGCUGGCAGGUAACAUGCCGUCUGGAGUUGUCGCAAACACAGGUCUGUGGGCAUAGCUGAGCAGCUACGAGCCAAGCUGGACUCGGGAGCAACACCAUAAGCAACAGCAUGAAGACCCAGGACAGCCAACUCCUGCCUCAGAACUUCUCCAUGCCUUCAUUCUCUGGGUACAGUCCCAGAAUUCCUGGUUUUCUCAGCACUGGCGGCCUUCUCUAGACUCUGGCUUGACGGUCAGGGUAGGGGCCUAUUGGGCUGAUAACUGAAGAGGAAAAAGGUGCAGGGCACAGAGGGCUGCCAAGGACACCUCUUUGUAAGGCUCCAAAGGACUACUGCACAGGAACAGCUACCUCUGGAGCUGUUUUAGGGGCCACCUCUGGGGAACCCCAGAUACAGGAAGAUCCUGUUUGCUCUGUACCAGGCCUCACGGAGGCACGAACACCCUGGCUGUCCUGGAACUCUGUAGACCAGACUUCCCUCAAAUUCACAGAGAUCUGCCUAAGUCCGUCUCCCAAGUGGUGGAAUGAAAGGUGUUUUGCCUGCACGUUUAUCUGUGUACCACAUGCAUACAAUGCCCAUGGAGGCCAGAAGAGGGCGAUGGAUACCCUAGAACUGGAAUCUCAGAUGGUUGCAGACCACUUCUAUGUGUGCUUGAAAUUAAACCCAGGUCAUCUAGAAGAACGACCCAGUUGUUUUUAAAUUAUAUUUAUUUGCGCAUGCAAAUGCAACAGCGAGUGUGAAGGUCAAAGGACAACUUGCAGGAAGUCUGUUCUCUCCAGGAUUUCACUCAGGUUUUCAGAUGAAAUCACACUCUGAAUGCUGCAACCUAGGCUGUUCUCACAGCAAUUUUUCUGCAUUGCCUUCCAACCCUGUAGAUCACCACACACAGCAGUUCCGUUUUUCUCCAUCAGGGUGUGAGCUGUGGGCCUUCUAUGGCUUUUACAACAAUAAGACCAGGCUGCCCUGCAACUUGAGAUCCACCUGCUUCUGUAUCCUGAGUGCUGGUACUAAAGGUAUGAGCUAGCAUAGCUCUGCUCCUGUUGGGGUCCCUCAACUGUAAGACAUCGGAGCUUGCCACUACAGACUCAACUCAUGCCUUCUGUGCCUGAACCAAAGACUCACUACUAUGAGUUCCACCUUCGAAG